UACGGAGGUGGCAAGCGUUGCUCGGAAUCACUGGGCGUAAAGGGCGCGUAGGCGGGGAGGUAAGUCGGGUGUGAAAUCCCUCGGCCCAACCGAGGAACUGCGCCCGAGACUGCUUCUCUUGAGUCCCGGAGAGGAAGAUGGAAUUCCCGGUGUAGCGGUGAAAUGCGCAGAUAUCGGGAGGAACACCAAUGGCGAAGGCAGCUCGCUGGGACGUGACUGACGCUGAGACGCGAAAGCGUGGGGAGCAAACAGG
rnacentral:rRNA from 1 species